UACGAAGGGGGCUAGCGUUGUUCGGAAUCACUGGGCGUAAAGCGCACGUAGGCGGAUGUGCCAGUCAGGGGUGAAAUCCCGGAGCUCAACUACGGAACUGCCUCUGAUACAGCACGUCUUGAGUCCGGAAGAGGUGGGUGGAAUUCCUAGUGUAGAGGUGAAAUUCGUAGAUAUUAGGAAGAACACCGGUGGCGAAGGCGGCCCACUGGUCCGGUACUGACGCUGAGGCACGAAAGCGUGGGGAUCAAACAGG
rnacentral:rRNA from 1 species